rnacentral:rRNA from 1 species
ACGAACGCUGGCGGCGUGCUUAACACAUGCAAGUCGAACGAAAGACGGGAAGAGCUUGCUNUUCCGGAAUUGAGUGGCAAACGGGUGAGUAACACGUAAACAACCUGCCUUCAGGAUGGGGACAACAGACGGAAACGACUGCUAAUACCGAAUAAGUUCCAAGAGCCGCAUGGCCCAUGGAAGAAAAGGUGGCCUCUACCUGUAAGCUAUCGCCUGAAGAGGGGUUUGCGUCUGAUUAGCUGGUUGGAGGGGUAACGGCCCACCAAGGCGACGAUCAGUAGCCGGUCUGAGAGGAUGAACGGCCACACUGGAACUGAGACACGGUCCAGACUCCUACGGGAGGCAGCAGUGGGGAAUCUUCCGCAAUGGGCGAAAGCCUGACGGAGCAACGCCGCGUGAGUGAUGACGGCCUUCGGGUUGUAAAACUCUGUGAUCCGGGACGAAAAGGCAGAGUGCGAAGAACAAACUGCAUUGACGGUACCGGAAAAGCAAGCCACGGCUAACUACGUG